rnacentral:rRNA from 1 species
UGCAAGUCGAGUGCGCGCCCGUAGCAAUACGGGUGGCGCACGGCGCACGGGUGCGUAACACGUGGGCAACCUGCCCUUUGAUGGGGAAUAACCCCGCGAAAGCGGGGCUAAUACCGCAUAAGAUCCGCAAGGAUGAAAGCCGUAAGGCGUCGAAGGAGGGGCCCGCGCACGAUUAGCUAGUUGGUAGGGUAACGGCCUACCAAGGCUUUGAUCGUUAGCUGGUCUGAGAGGAUGGCCAGCCACACUGGAACUGAGACACGGUCCAGACUCCUACGGGAGGCAGCAGUGGGGAAUCUUGCACAAUGGGCGAAAGCCUGAUGCAGCGACGCCGCGUGGGGGAUGAAGCUUCUCGGAGUGUAAACCCCUUUCGACCCGGACGAAUGCCCCGCAAGGGGACUGACGGUACGGGUAUAAGAAGCCCCGGCUAACUACGUGCCAGCAGCCGCGGUAAGACGUAGGGGGCCAGCGUUGUUCGGAAUUACUGGGUGUAAAGGGUUCGUAGGCGGUGUGGCAAGUCGGGAGUGAAAUCUCUGGGCUCAACUCAGAGUCUGCUUCCGAAACUGCUGUGCUGGAGUGUGGGAGAGGCGCGUGGAAUUGCAGGUGUAGCGGUGAAAUGCGUAGAUAUCUGCAGGAACACCCGUGGCGAAAGCGGCGCGCUGGACCACUACUGACGCUGAGGAACGAAAGCUAGGGGAGCAAACAGGAUUAGAUACCCUGGUAGUCCUAGCCCUAAACGAUCAGGACUUGGGGUGCCACCCGUUCGGGUGUCGUCCCGGAGCUAACGCGUUAAGUCCUGCACCUGGGGAGUACGGUCGCAAGACUGAAACUCAAAGGAAUGACGGGGGCCCGCACAAGCGGUGGAACAUGUGGUUC